rnacentral:rRNA from 1 species
AGUGAACGCUGGCGGUAGGCCUAACACAUGCAAGUCGAACGGCAGCACAGUAAGAGCUUGCUCUUACGGGUGGCGAGUGGCGGACGGGUGAGGAAUACAUCGGAAUCUACUUUUUCGUGGGGGAUAACGUAGGGAAACUUACGCUAAUACCGCAUACGACCUACGGGUGAAAGCAGGGGAUCUUCGGACCUUGCGCGAUUGAAUGAGCCGAUGUCGGAUUAGCUAGUUGGCGGGGUAAAGGCCCACCAAGGCGACGAUCCGUAGCUGGUCUGAGAGGAUGAUCAGACACGCUGGAACUGAGACACGGUCCAGACUCCUACGGGAGGCAGCAGUGGGGAAUAUUGGACAAUGGGCGCAAGCCUGAUCCAGCCAUACCGCGUGGGUGAAGAAGGCCUUCGGGUUGUAAAGCCCUUUUGUUGGGAAAGAAAAGCAGCAGGUUAAUACCCCGCUGUUCUGACGGUACCCAAAGAAUAAGCACCGGCUAACUUCGUG